UUCGUACUCCCCCGUCCGAAAAUACUUGUCUUAAGAAUGGUUGUAUCUAGACUUAUUUUAGUUAUAGAUUCAUCUAUUUUCAAUCAUUUCUAAGACAAGUAUUUCCGGACGAAGGGAGUACUGU
rfam:Triticum aestivum genome assembly, contig: Triticum_aestivum_CS42_TGACv1_scaffold_000880_1AL